ACCCGCUGAACUUAAGCAUAUCAAUAAGCGGAGGAAAAGAAACCAACAGGGAUUGCCCUAGUAACGGCGAGUGAAGCGGCAACAGCUCAAAUUUGAAAUCUGGCGCAAGCCCGAGUUGUAAUUUGUAGAGGAUGCUUCUGGGCAGCGGCCGGUCUAAGUUCCUUGGAACAGGACGUCACAGAGGGUGAGAAUCCCGUAUGUGAUCGGUUGGCACCCGCUACGUAGCUCCUUCGACGAGUCGAGUUGUUUGGGAAUGCAGCUCUAAAUGGGAGGUAAAUGCCUUCUAAAGCUAAAUACCGGCCAGAGACCGAUAGCGCACAAGUAGAGUGAUCGAAAGAUGAAAAGCACUUUGGAAAGAGAGUUAAAAAGCACGUGAAAUUGUUGAAAGGGAAGCGCAUGCAACCAGACUUGUCCGCGGUGUUCCGCCGGUCUUCUGACCGGUCUACUCGCCGCGGGCAGGCCAGCAUCAUCUGGGAGCGCCGGAUAAAGGUAGCGGGAAUGUGGCCCCUCGGGGUGUUAUAGCUCGCUACACAAUACGGCGCCUCCCGGGUGAGGUCCGCGCUUCGGCUAGGAUGCUGGCGUAAUGGUUGUAUACGGCCCGUCUUGAAACACGGACCAAGGAGUCUACCAUCUAUGCGAGUGUUCGGGUGUCAAACCCCUACGCGCAAUGAAAGUGAACGGAGGUGGGAACCGCAAGGUGCACCAUCGACCGAUCCUGAUGUCUUCGGAUGGAUUUGAGUAAGAGCAUAGCUGGUGGGACCCGAAAGAUGGUGAACUAUGCCUGAAUAGGGUGAAGCCAGAGGAAACUCUGGUGGAGGCUCGCAGCGGUUCUGACGUGCAAAUCGAUCGUCAAAUUUGGGUAUAGGGGCGAAAGACUAAUCGAACCAUCUAGUAGCUGGUUCCUGCCGAAGUUUCCCUCAGG
rnacentral:rRNA from 1 species